UACGUAGGGUGCAAGCGUUGUCCGGAAUUAUUGGGCGUAAAGAGCUCGUAGGCGGUCUGUCGCGUCGGCUGUGAAAACUCGGGGCUUAACCCCGAGCCUGCUUCUGAUACGGGCAGACUAGAGGUAUGCAGGGGAGAACGGAAUUCCUGGUGUAGCGGUGAAAUGCGCAGAUAUCAGGAGGAACACCGGUGGCGAAGGCAGCUCACUGGGACGGUAUUGACGCUGAGACGCGAAAGCGUGGGGAGCAAACAGG
rnacentral:rRNA from 1 species